UACGGAGGGGGCAAGCGUUAUUCGGAAUUAUUGGGCGUAAAGGGCGCGUAGGCGGCUAGAUGUGUCAAAGGUGAAAUCCCUCGGCUCAACUGAGGAACUGCCUUUGAAACUGUCUGGCUUGAGGCCGGGAGAGGGUAGCGGAAUUCCCAGUGUAGCGGUGAAAUUCGUAGAUAUCGGGAGGAACACCGGCGGCGAAGGCGGCGACCUGGUUGGAUACUGACGCUGAGGCGCGAAAGCGUGGGGAGCAAACAGG
rnacentral:rRNA from 1 species